rnacentral:tRNA from 1 species
GGACGCUUAGCUCAGCUGGUAGAGCAUCUGCUUGACGUGCAGGGGGUCAGGGGUUCGAGUCCCUUAGCGUCCACCA